AACGAACGCUGGCGGCGUGCCUAACACAUGCAAGUCGAACGAGAAAGGGGCUUCGGCUCCGAGUAAAGUGGCGCACGGGUGAGUAACACGUGGGUAACCUGCCUCUAAGAUUGGGAUAACUCGUCGAAAGAUGAGCUAAUACCGAAUAAGGCCACAGUUCCCGCGGGAACAGGGGUCAAAGGUAGCCUCUGCUUGCAAGCUAUCACUUAGAGAUGGGCCUGCGCACCAUUAGCUAGUUGGUAGGGUAACGGCCUACCAAGGCAAAGAUGGUUAGCUGGUCUGAGAGGAUGAUCAGCCACACUGGAACUGAGACACGGUCCAGACUCCUACGGGAGGCAGCAGUGGGGAAUAUUGCGCAAUGGGCGAAAGCUUGACGCAGCAACGCCGCGUGAGUGAUGAAGGCCUUCGGGUCGUAAAGCUCUGUCGGGAGGAACGAAUGCUCCUGAGGUUAACAGCCUCGGGAGGUGACGGUACCUUCAAAGGAAGCACCGGCUAACUCUGUG
rnacentral:rRNA from 1 species